AUUAUCAGAUAUAGUUUCUAGACAAAUCAAAGACAAGUACAAUACUGGUAAAAUGGUGUUUGAAUAAGUUUUCAUUUCUGAAAGUUUGCACGGCCAAAGUGCCCGAAGUUGCAUAAUCACCCAGCAACGUGUAUUACUAUGUGGUUAUGUUUAUGGUGCAGAUAAUUCAUUUACAGACAGUACACGCACAGAUCAAAAUUGAAUAUCUUUAUCUCUUACAGAACACGUAGUAUGGAAAUGGAACGAAAUGUCUUCAUCCGCUCUGCUAGGUGGCAGCACUGAGAACGUGGAGGUCUUGGAACAAAAUCAGCAACAGUAGUCACUACUUCCCUUGCGCUGUGGAUACAUGUGGUAUUAUUUAUCUUGGAAUGCAACAGUGUUUCUUGCAAACGGGGAUUGCAAUUAUUUCUCUGAAAUGAAAUGUACUGGCUUCUCAGUAAACCGACUCGUACCAGCCAUGACCGCUGCAGAUUGUUGUCUCCGUCCCUACAGAUGAUGACCAGCUCUGUCUUUAAAGGAGAGGACAAGGCAUCCCCCACAGGGUUCCAGCCUAGAGCUACAAGACCCUGAGACAUUAGUUUAACAGAACAAGUUUCUCUGCCCAGAUUGAGACUAGGGGUAAUGUUCCCCUGCUCAGACGUUGCAUUCAUUAACCAGUGGUUGCGUGCCACACCUUCGACUGUGUCAUCGACUGACAGAUUGCUGUAACAUGAUUUGGUUAGUUAAUACAAUGCCUGGAUAGGUAUAUUAAGUAAGAUCUGUCAGGCGUCAGCAACUUUUGAGCAGAGAAACUCGCCUUACAUCACCUCAAAAUGGAGGGAGAUAAACUAAUUUCUUUACCUAUCGUGAGACUCCACAGACUAACGAAGGAUCAACUGUCUCUCGCUGCUCAGAAGAACAAUAACAAACCAGGGAGAAAACCAACAAAUAAGAAAAACUUCACCACCACCAGAGGAAAGAAACAAUCCACAGGAAAAGGAAACGACUCUGCUGACAGCAAAAGUGUUUCUAGCCAGGAAUCGCCGGCCCCUAAGUGGUGGGGUCGCCCCAAGGGAAGCAAAAACAAACCCAAGAUAAGUCUACAACUCUCCAGCGCCAUCUUGAGGCCUGACGAGGUAAAACAAGAGGUAAAACAAGAGAUGGACGAGCUGCCUAUCGAAAUGAGAAGUGAUGAACACUGGUUGAACGCUGUGAAGCCAGAAAGCUACGACCCAGAGAUGGGUAACACCAAGGGACCUCCUACAGAGAGCGACCCCAGGACAGAUGCACAUCACCUGGGUAUCAAGACAGAGGAUGCCCCCCUGUACCACCAGGAUGGAGGGAGACGUCUACGGUCGGCUACCAGCCAGCCGUUCAAUCUGACUGCAUUCCGGUCCGACCCAGAAUGGCGGCCUCGCAACCAGAAGGUCCGCCGGUUUCCGUGCCCAGAUUGUGGACGGAAGUUCUUCUCCAAAACCACACUGGAGUUACAUUCCCGGAUCCACACCCAGUACCGGCCGUACUCCUGUGAGGUGUGCCAUAAAACGUUCUCCCGGAAAGCCGGCUUGGACGAGCACCGGCCAAUCCACGAUGCGGAACGUCCUUUCACCUGCCUCCAAUGCGGCAGGACCUUCACGUUCAAAUCCAACCUGACCCGGCACAUGCGGUUCCACAGCGAUGCACGGCCCUACGUCUGCCCCCAGUGCGGCCAAAGCUUCAAGAUCUCCGCCCACCUGAAGCGCCACAUGACGGCCCACAGCGGGUAUAAACCGUACGUGUGCCCGGAGUGCGGCCAGAGUUACAUGAGUUACAUGAGUCUGAAGUAUCACCGACUGAGCCACACCGGCGAGCGCCCGCUGUCCUGCCCAGAGUGUCCCAUGACCUUUGCCCGACCGCACAUCCUUAUGAUCCACCGGCGACAGCACACCGGGGAGACGCCUUUCUCUUGCCAGGACUGUGGGAACCAGUUCAAACAGCGGUGCAAGCUGAAAGAACACAUUAGAAGGAAACACAGGGGAGAAACCUUAUAAAUGCUCCGAUUGCGACAAGUGCUUUGUCACUUCUACUUUGCGUAAAGUGCACAUGGUUGUUCACACAGGGGAGAAGCCGUACAAAUGCAUGGAGUGCUGUAGGAGCUACAGUCAGAGUGGGUCCCUGAAGAGGCCCAGGUGUAAGAAGAAACCCAGUGGCAGCGUUGAGGCAACACUGGGCAGGGUCAGAGUUCAGCAGGAAACACCAUCAUUGGCAGAGAGGCCUUCUGAGUGGACUUCUCUAUGGUUGCCAUGACCACAGAUUGUGAGAGUUGGACCAGGCCAGCUGCUACUACCGCUAGAGGGUCAACCGGACGGGCCUCCCGCUGCUCCCGCCACGUCGUCGACACCCUGGGCCUUUCCGCCGCACCAGGACCCCACGCGUUCCUGCUGGUGAUCAGGGGGUGAGGUUCACAGAGGAGGAAAGGGAUACCCUCGUGAGGUGGAUCCAGGAGAACUUUAGAGAAGAGUCUUUAAUGUUCACCAUGGUGCUGUUCACUGGGGGAGACCAGCUAGAGGGGAAACCAGUGGAGGACCUACUGAAGGACAACAGUCAACUGCUACAACUAAUCAGUACCUGCAGGGACAGAUAUCAUGUCUUCAACAACAAGGAGAAAGGUGACCACACUCAGGUCACUGAGCUGCUGGAGAAGAUAGAGGAGAUGGUGGAGAGCAAUGGUGGAAACCACUUCAAUGUCAACACACACCCAGUAAGGGAGAAAGAAGCGUCUGGUGUGGUGGUCACCAUGGUGAUGUUAGUGGCAGUUGGAGCUGUGUUCAAAUUGAUGGUUGAUGACUUACUGUAUGGAGCAAAAUACAAGAUGGUGGGAACUUGGAGAGAAAAGAAAGUGAAAAUGAAAGGUUGACUCCUGAAAAAUUGUGAAAAUCAAUGUAUUCUUAUGACUACAUUGAAUUACAGAGCUUUGAUCUAAGUUUUGGUUAGACUCAUUGUUGACAUUUAUUUACUCCCAUUUUAUGAGUGUGAAUGAUGGUCAUAUGUCAUUAAGGAGAGAUAUAAUUGUCAAAACAUAUUGUAUCUCUAUCAUACAUUGUUGUCCAACACAAUUUGUAUGCUGAAAUCAAAAUCAGUAACAAAUCAUGAAAUAAAUUGAGAUUUUUAUGAAAAAAAUUAUUUAACAAAUGAAUGAAAAGAU